AGAGCGAACGCUGGCGGCAGGCCUAACACAUGCAAGUCGAGCGCGUGUAGCAAUACACGAGCGGCAGACGGGAGAGUAACACGUGGGAACGCGCCCUUCGGUUCGGAAUAACUCAGGGAAACUUGAGCUAAUACCGGAUACGCCCUUACGGGGAAAGAUUUAUUGCCGAAGGAACGGCCCGCGUCCGAUUAGCUAGUUGGUGAGGUAACGGCUCACCAAGGCGACGAUCGGUAGCUGGUCUGAGAGGAUGACCAGCCUCACUGGGACUGAGACACGGCCCAGACUCCUACGGGAGGCAGCAGUGGGGAAUAUUGGACAAUGGGCGCAAGCCUGAUCCAGCCAUGCCGCGUGGAUGAUGAAGGCCUUAGGGUUGUAAAGUCCUUUUAACGGGGAAGUAUAAUGACGGUACCGUAGAAUAAGCCCCGGCUAACUUCGCGCCAGCAGCCGC
rnacentral:rRNA from 1 species